GCUGACUAACGACCAACCACAAACAUCCAUAUACUAUCAAACAAACCAUUUGCCAAACCCAGUAGUUGCGAUCGAACAGUAUAAUAGUCAAAACUUAGUACCGUAAGGGAAACCCUUAAGCAAUAAACAGCAAAGAUUAACUCUUGUACCUUUUGCAUCAUGAUUUAGCAAGACAACCAGGGCAAGAAGACUCAUAGCCCACCUCCCGAAACCGGAUGAGCUAUUUUCAAGCAGUCUAACGGACACACCCUUCUCUGUAGCAAAAGAGUGGGAAGACUUAAAAAUAGAGGUGAAACGCUUAUCGAAUCCGGAGAUAGCUGGCUACCCCAAAUAGAACCUAAGUUCUACUUUAGGCCUUCACAUACCCUAUAAUUUAACCUAAAGAUAAUCAAUAGAGGAACAGCCCUAUUGAAACAGGAUACAACCUGAAUUUGAAAGACAGAACCCCACUUCCUCUCGUAGGCCUUUAAGCAGCCACCCAUAUAGAUAUCGUCAAAGAACUACUCAAAACAAUCCUAAUACCCAAACCCAACUUCAAACCCACCAAGGGUGGAUCUACGUUAGUAGAUAUCAUUAUGCUAAAACUAAUAAUAAGAAUUUAUCUCUACACGCACCCCUCUACUAGACACAGAAAACCUACUAGUCAUUAACAGACCACAAAAGGUAGACAAUCAAUCAAUACCCAUCUUUAAAUUGACUGUGACCCCAACACAGGAGCGUUAAAAAGAAAGAUUAAUCGUUAUAAAAGGAACUCGGCAACCAUGGGCUCCAACUGUUUAACAAAAACAUAACCUUUAGCCAAACAAAUAUUAAAGGCAACGCCUGCCCAGUGAAUAGUUAAACGGCCGCGGUAUCCUAACCGUGCAAAGGUAGCAUAAUCAUUUGUCCAUUAAUUGUGGACUCGUAUGAAAGGCAAAAUGAGAGCCCGACUGUCUCUUAUAACUAAUCAAUUAAACUGAUCCCCCAGUACAAAAGCUGAGAUACCACCAUAAGACCAGAAGACCCUGUGAAGCUUUAACUAACCUAUUAAACCCAAUAAUAAUUAAUUUCGGUUGGGGCGACCUUGGAACAAAAAAGAACUUCCAAUAUAUGACUUCAUCAUACAAAAGGCAAACAAGCCACAUUAGACCCAGUAUAUCUGAUUAAUGAACCAAGUUACUCCAGGGAUAACAGCGCUAUCUUCUUCAAGAGCCCAUAUCAAAAAGAAGGUUUACGACCUCGAUGUUGGAUCAGGACAUCCUAGUAAUGCAACCGUUACUGAGGGUUCGUUUGUUCAACGAUUAACAGCCCUACGUGAUCUGAGUUCAGACCGGAGUAAUCCAGGUCAGUUUCUAUCUAUGAAUAGCCACACCCAGUACGAAAGGACCGGUACAGCAAAGCCUAUACCUUACGCACGCUUUGAUUAUAAAACGUACUAAAACAUUAAAACAACUAACAUAUUUAAACCUAGACCAGGUUAAUUAAGGACUCUACACCUUA
rnacentral:rRNA from 4 species